AGAUUGAACGCUGGCGGCAUGCCUAACACAUGCAAGUCGAACGGGAGUAGCAAUACUCUAGUGGCGGACGGGUGAGGAAUACGUAGGAAUUUGCCCUUAAGUGGGGGAUAACCCGGGGAAACCCGGAUUAAUACCGCAUGACCUCGAAAGAGCAAAGUGGGGGAUCGCAAGACCUCACGCUUUUGGAGAAGCCUACGUCGGAUUAGCUAGUUGGUGAGGUAAUGGCUCACCAAGGCGACGAUCCGUAACUGGUCUGAGAGGAUGAUCAGUCACACCGGAACUGAGACACGGUCCGGACUCCUACGGGAGCAGCAGUGGGAUAUGGACAUGGGCGCAAGCCUGAUCAGCAAUGCCGCGUGUGUGAAGAGGCCUUCGGGUUGUAAGACUACUUUAAGGUUAGGGAAAGAAAAAACGUCGACUACUAACACUAGUGUAGUCUUGACGGUACCGAACAGAA
rnacentral:rRNA from 1 species